GCAGUCGUGGCCGAGUGGUUAAGGCGAUGGACUAGACAUCCAAUGGGGUCUCCCCGCACAGGUUCGAAUCCUGUCGACUGCG
rfam:Ixodes scapularis strain Wikel colony gcontig_1108378907596, whole genome shotgun sequence.